rnacentral:rRNA from 1 species
GGCGACCGGCCACACUGGGACUGAGACACGGCCCAGACUCCUACGGGAGGCAGCAGUGGGGAAUAUUGCACAAUGGGCGAAAGCCUGAUGCAGCGACGCCGCGUGAGGGAUGAAGGCCUUCGGGUUGUAAACCUCUUUCAGCAGGGAAGAAGCGCAAGUGACGGUACCUGCAGAAGAAGCGCCGGCUAACUACGUGCCAGCAGCCGCGGUAAUACGUAGGGCGCAAGCGUUGUCCGGAAUUAUUGGGCGUAAAGAGCUCGUAGGCGGUUUGUCGCGUCUGGUGUGAAAACUCGAGGCUCAACCUCGAGCUUGCAUCGGGUACGGGCAGACUAGAGUGCGGUAGGGGAGACUGGAAUUCCUGGUGUAGCGGUGGAAUGCGCAGAUAUCAGGAGGAACACCGAUGGCGAAGGCAGGUCUCUGGGCCGCAACUGACGCUGAGGAGCGAAAGCAUGGGGAGCGAACAGGAUUAGAUACCCUGGUAGUCCAUGCCGUAAACGUUGGGCACUAGGUGUGGGGCUCAUUCCACGAGUUCCGUGCCGCAGCAAACGCAUUAAGUGCCCCGCCUGGGGAGUACGGCCGCAAGGCUAAAACUCAAAGGAAUUGACGGGGGCCCGCACAAGCGGCGGAGCAUGCGGAUUAAUUCGAUGCAACGCGAAGAACCUUACCAAGGCUUGACAUGCACGAGAAGCCACCAGAGAUGGUGGUCUCUUUGGACACUCGUGCACAGGUGGUGCAUGGUUGUCGUCAGCUCGUGUCGUGAGAUGUUGGGUUAAGUCCCGCAACGAGCGCAACCCUCGUCCCAUGUUGCCAGCGGGUUAUGCCGGGGACUCAUGGGAGACUGCCGGGGUCAACUCGGAGGAAGGUGGGGAUGACGUCAAAUCAUCAUGCCCCUUAUGUCUUGGGCUUCACGCAUGCUACAAUGGCCGGUACAAAGGGCUGCGAUACCGUAAGGUGGAGCGAAUCCCAAAAAGCCGGUCUCAGUUCGGAUUGGGGUCUGCAACUCGACCCCAUGAAGUCGGAGUCGCUAGUAAUCGCAGAUCAGCAACGCUGC